GACUUAUCAAAACCCGUCAUCGCAUGGACAAGUUGAAAAGCAACUCGCACAGAACAAUCAUCGACAUGCGAAAACAGCCUCAUGCUCCCAGCAAAUAAUUGGCACUAAAGCACAAGGCAUAUGAGGAUGAUACUCAUAUGCACUCAAAAGUACUGCUGAACAUACUGACAAUAAAGAACUAUGUUGUCUUGUGUCAAAUGAUUAUUU